rnacentral:lncRNA from 1 species
GAAGGAGCUCACCUUACCCAUCUUCUCCCAAGGGUUUGGCCAGCCUGAGACUCUGGAGGGCAAUGACAGCACCAGUGUGGUCCCUGCCUUUGAUCCUGAGCCAGUCAUUGCCCACUGCUUCAAGCAGUUCAAGCAGGAGGACUUCCACCUGCUGAAGAGCCACCAGCGGGUCAUCAUCGUGCCUACCCAGCAGGGACAGGCGCCCAUGGAUCGUGAGCCCCAGCCCCCACCACCUGCCCCCAACCUCAGAGUCCUGGGUUCUGGGGACAUCCCCGGGCUGAGGGAGAACAGGGCAGCCUGGCUGCACCACAGGGUGAAGCUGCGGAAGGAGCUGGAGGCCCUGGGUGACGUGACUCGGUGGCUGGAGAACAAGCCCAGCAUCACCCCCUUGGAGGCCAAGGUCCUGAACAUGCUCCAUGAGGAGCGAAAGGCCCAGCUUACGGUCGAGGUGACCACCACCACAGUCGCCAAGAAAAGAGGCCCCCGACGAGUGGUGCCCCAGCUUUGGCUGCCCAAGCCACCAGCCUUGUCGGCCCUGUACACCUACCUGCGCCGCCGCAAAAUUCAGGUGCUGGAGCUGUUUGCCAAGGGCCUGGGCACACAGCGGAGAGUCCCCUGGGAGGAAUUCCUCACCACACUGAGGACGGUUGGGGUACCCCUGAAGCAGCAGGAGAUGGAGGAUGUGGUGAUCUACCUGAGCUCCCUCGAGAACCACCAUGACAUCACUAUGGAGGCCCUGGCCAGCACCUACAAGCAGUGGUCUCUGGCCCAGCUGAGGAGCACGGUACCCACCGUGCACAAGUGCUCUGUCCCGGCCCAGGGCAUGUCAUCCCCACAUCCCUGUAGGAAGGACCUGCUCAUGGUGCCCGAGUUCCCUGUGCCCAUGGAGGCUCGGCCCCUGACGCUGGAGGAGAUGGAGGAUGUGGGCAGGCACUACCGUGAGCGCAAGCGGCAGCUCAAGCUCCCCAUCCCCUCUAUCGAGUACACGGAGAGCUGCCGCCUGGUGCACAGUGGGGACGAGCGCGUGGACCAGCACUGCCUGCCAUCCACGGUGGCUGGUGAGGGCCAGGAGCUUCUGGACACAGCCCGCAUGGACGGCUUCCUGCUCUACUUGCGCUGUGGGCAGCAGUGUGCGGCCUCGGGCCUGCCAGUGACCAAGGAGGUCCUCACCCGAGGAAGACACCCAAGGAUGGCAGGAAGAUGCCCUUUAAAGAAGCUCAGGAGGGUACCAGGUCUGCAGCAGUAUCAGGAUAGGGAGGACUGGGGGUGGGAGGGUUCAGGCCCAGCACGGGAGAAAGGGAGGCGGAGGGAGAGGGAGAAGCGGAGGGCAGACCUCAGUGCAAGGAUGACUCUGGUGAAUCCCGUGGGACCCACUGGCCUCCUCAUGGGGCAGCUGCAGCUCCAGGGUAAGCGAGGCCUGCACAGAGAUACCCCAGGGUGCGCUCCCGAACCUGAGGUUCAGAGACAGCUGUUGGGUUGGGCCUGCGCCCUGUGUUCCUUCACUAUGUGACCUCAGUGAGAUGACAGCCCCCGAGACCCUGGGUCCUGGCCAGGGUGGUGGACCUGAGGCCCUGCGGGGCAUCCUAUGCUCUCUGCCCACAGGUCACAGGUGCCCCACUGUCCCCCAAGGAGCCCGGCCCGGCCUAUCCAGGUGACAAUCUCUUGCAUCUUCCUUUUCCAGGAAGCUGAAGGCAAGGAGACUCAGGGGGCCCCAGCGCACCCACCCCAAUGUCUUCUGGCCAGGCCACCUACUGGACAAGAUGCGGCUGUGCCUGCCCACAGAGGCCACUGACCGGAGCCUGGCACUGUUCAGCUGCAUCCAGCACAAGCGCCACGCCUACCAAGCCAUCUACCACCCUGACCGCUGGUGGCCCCUGAGGGAGGAGAACUACAUGAGCCGCGCCUAUUACAAUUCCCCCAAGGUGUAUGCCAUCAACUAGAGUGGCUGGUGUCACCAUGACACGGCGGGGUCUGGCCAUGCUAAAGACACUGCGUCCCUGUCCCGGAGGAAUGUCACUGUGGCUCGUCCAGCCUUGGGCUUGCCAAAUAAACCAGCAAGAGCUUCUCUCACACGACCUGGGUCUCAGCCUAUGCGACUUGGAGCUCCCACCUUGGAGGACACAGCAGGCACUUUCCCUCAGACACCAACAGGGAGUCACCUUGGGUGGCAUCUCCGUGAGAUGAGGUGGCAGCUUGUCUCUCACCCCAAGGCUGAACCUCUGGGUUCCUGCUCCCAUCUCUUGGGGUUUCAGAGGCUGGGGAUGCCCUUGGUUCAUGAGCCUCCCUGGCCAGUCCAGCCGUCUCCCUCCUGGGCACAGCAUGUGGGCUGCCAUUAGCAGGGAUUCCAGCCCUACAUCCUGUGGGCCACACACAGCCCCAGGACCAGCACACCAGGUGUGGGGUAGAAACAGGCACAACCAGGUCUGAGCUGGGUGUGGUGGGUUAGGCCUGGAAUCCCAGCAUUUGGAAGGCUGAGGCAGGGUUGUGUGAGUUUGAGACCAGCCUGGGCUACAUAGUGAGACACUGUCUUAAUUUAAAAAAAAGAAAAAAAAAGGCCAAAACAUCCACCACCAACAAAAGACUCAUUAGUGGUACCUGUAUUAUAUUUGAGUUGAGGAAUCAAGGUUUUGUUUUGUUUUGUUUCCUCGUGGAAUUUGAUUUUCAAAAUGAUUUUUUUUUUGAGACACAGUCUCACUAUGUAGUUCAAGCUGGCUUUGAACUCACUAUGUAGCCCAGGCUGACCUCUAACUCACGGCGAUCCUCUUGCCUCAGCCUCCCCAGUGCUGGGAUGACAGGCAUGUGCCACCAUGCCCAGCUUCAAAAUAAUUUUAAAAACAAAAACUAAGCCAAACAAUUCAAGAACAACAAUUUUAAAAUUAACUCUUUUUUUUUUGGUACCGGGGAUCGAACUCGGGUCCUUGUGCUUGCGCAGUAGGCGGUGAAACCACUGAGCUAAAUCCCCGGCCAACAAUUUUAAAAUUAGAUAGUUUAGCUGGAUGGUUAGAAAUGUGGACUUUGGAGUCAGGUUUGUUUUGUUUUUUGUUUGUUUGUUUUUUUUGAGUCAAAUCUUCAAACUUAACUUUCCACAUAUGUCAAAUGAAGAAAAUAAAUAAAGUUUAGUGGUGCACACCUGUAAUUCCAGCAUUCUGGGAAGGUGAGGCAGGAGGACUACAAGUUCCAGCUCAGCCUAGGCAACUUAGUGACUUAGCAAGACCCUGUCUCAAAAAAAAAAAAAAAAAAAAAAAAAGUGGGGGAAUGUAGCUCAACUCAAAGGCCCUGGGUUUAAUCCUCAGUACUCCACAAAAAAAAGAAAAAGGACAAGUGGGGGACUACCUUACAGAACUGUGGUAUGGGUGUAAAUUCCCGUGGAAUAUCCGCUGUUCUUGUCUUACCGCUAUUUAGACAGUGAGCCCUUCGUGUCUCCACGUUCCACAUCUGCAUCCACAGGUUCAACGAACUGCGGAUAGAAAACAUUAGGAAAAAAUUGCAUCUGUUCUUGAACAUCUGCGACUUUUGUCAUGAUUCCCUGAAUCACACAGUACCGCAGGGAUUUCCUCAGCAUUUACACUGAGUUAGGUACAGUAUUAGAAGUAACCUAGAGAUGAUUUACAGUGUGUGGGAGGAUGGGUGUAGGUUCUAUGCAAUGCCGCACCACUUUAUGUAAGGGACGAGAGCAUCUGGGGAGUUUCGG